rnacentral:tRNA from 1 species
UGUUCUGUGGCUUAGUUGGUUCAAGCGCUGGUCUAGCGAACACAGAGUCGUGGGUUUGAAUCCCACCAGAACGC